CGGACUGGGCAGAUCCCGGCCAUGGCCUCGAGCUCGCUCUCGUUCCUGGCUCUCCUGCUGCUGGCGGCCCUGCCAGGGCUCCGGGCGGCCGUGACCCUGCUGGAGUCCGGGGGGGACCUCCAGCCCCCCGGGGGGUCCCUGCGCCUCCUCUGCCGCGCCCCCGGCCUCGAUUUGGGCCAAUCCCGGAUCUUCUGGGUGCGGCAGGGCGCCGGGAGGGGCCUGGAGCUGCUGGCGGGCAUCGGCGGCCCGGCGGCGCCGUGGGCGCGCGGAAGGUUCCGGGUGGGGCGGGAAGGGGACGGCGGCGGGUGGGUGACGCUGAGCGCCGACGACCUGCGGGACGGGGAUUCCGGGGUUUAUUUCUGCGCCGCUCACGGCGGUGCCGGCGCCGGGGACGGGCGGAGGAAAACCUCGGGGUGGUCCCUGGGGGGAGGGGGAGG